AAAACACCCGGAAAACACCCGGAAAUACACCCAGAAACACCCCGGAAACACCCGGAAAUACACCCAGAAACACCCCGAAAACACCCGGAAAUACACCCAGAAACAGCCCAAAAACACCUGGAAAUACACCCAGAAACACCCGGAAAUACACCCAGAAAUACACCCAGAAACAACCCAAAACACCCGGAAAUACACCCGGAAACAGCCCGAAAACACCCGGAAAUACACCCAGAAAUACCCAAAAAUACCCCAAAAUUGCUGGUCUGUACUGGAGUGUUACUGGUUUAUACUGGAGUGUUACUGGGAUUUAUUAACCCUUACUGGUCUGUACUGGGAGCCGUUACUGGUCUGUACUGGGAGCUGUUACUGGUCUGUACUGGGAGCCGUUACUGGUCUGUACUGGGAGCUGUUACUGGUCUGUACUGGUCUGUACUGGGAGCUGUUACUGGUCUGUACUGGUCUGUACUGGGAGCUGUUACUGGUCUGUACUGGGAGCUGUUACUGGGAUUUAUUAACCCUUACUGGUCUGUACUGGGAGCUGUUACUGGUCUAUACUGGUCUGUACUGGUGUCAAUAAAGGUGUCAAUGGAGCAGUGGCUGUGUGGGGGAAGGGUACUGGGACAUACUGGGGCAUACUGGGACAUACUGGGACAUACUGGGGUGUACUGGGGCAUACUGGGACAUACUGGGGUGUACUGGGACAUACUGGGACAUACUGGGGUGUACUGGGACAUACUGGGACAUACUGGGACAUACUGGGGCAUACUGGGACAUACUGGGACAUACUGGGGUGUACUGGGACAUACUGGGACAUACUGG
rnacentral:lncRNA from 1 species